rnacentral:tRNA from 1 species
AGUUAAUGAACUUGAAACAAGCCUAUGUCUUGAAAACAUACUAAAGAAAUUUUAAUUUUCUAUUAACUU